ACUUUGUUACCAUGGAGACCACCUGGCAGGCCAGGCAGGCCCGGAGGAGGUUGGGAGCUUCCUCACAGAGUUGGCCACCCCCUCCCUGUUCCUCCCACUGAGAGGGUGUUACCUGGGUGAUGGGGAGAGGGUCCUGCCACCCUACUGACCUCAUGGAGGCACUCUGGGAAUCAGCCCCGGUCUCUACAUGUGACCGCCUGCCGCCCAGCUGGGGUCUGAGGUUUAGACUGUAAUGGUGAUAGCCUCCUCUCGUUGAGCUCUUUAUCCCUUUCAAAGCAGUCUCGGCCACUGUCCUCUUCUGAAGCCUGUGAAGUCUUCUCACUUGCCAGAUGAGCUGGAAGGAAGUACUGAGAGGAUUUUGAGUGGUUGCAUCUUCCUUCAAUACUUCCCCCAGCUGAAGACUUUCUUGUGAUCUAGCACACAUUGAAAUGAAGAGCUUCCGUGAAAUGAAAUUCUUCCAAAACCCAGAGAACGAACAAUGUAUUUUUUCCCCAGUUUUGUUAUAAAUUUGGUCAAAGCUGAGGCCAGAAGCCUUCCUUCUUUUCCCACUGCCCUCCUUCAAUAUCCCAGCCAGUUCCCGGGCCUACGUGGUGCAUCCGCAAGAUGAAUAAACUUCUCUUUUUGUAUUAUG